GACCGGGUGGCUGAGUGGAUAGGCCACAUGGCAAGGCGUGAGUGUUAGUACUCGAUGUAGGUUCGAAUCCUACCCCGGACG
rfam:Caenorhabditis brenneri strain PB2801 C_brenneri-6.0.1_Cont207.1, whole genome shotgun sequence.